rnacentral:rRNA from 1 species
AGUGAACGCUGGCGGUAGGCCUAACACAUGCACGUCGAGCGAGCGGCGGCCGGGUGAGUAAUGCCUAGGAAUCUGCCUGGUAGUGGGGGAUAACGUCCGGAAACGGGCGCUAAUACCGCAUACCAACGGAUGUGCCCAGAUGGGAUUAGCUUGUAGUGGAGGUAACGGCUCACCUAGGCGACGAUCCCUAGCUGGUAUGAAAGGAGGAUCAGCCACACUGGAACUGAGACACGGUCCAGACUCCUACGGGAGGCAGCAGUGGGGAAUAUUGGACAAUGGGCGCAAGACUGAUCCAGCCAUACCGCGUGGGUGAAGAAGGCCUUCGGGUUGGAAAGCCCUUUUGUUGGGAAAGCGGUACCCAAAGAAUAAGCACCGGCUAACUUCGUGCCAGCAGCCGCGGUAAUUC